rnacentral:lncRNA from 10 species
GCAGAAGUAACAUUCCUUUGAACACUCAGCUUUCUGAAAUGGUGUCCCACCGCAAGGACUGGAGAAGGGUAAACCUCAGGUUCUCCUCCUGCCUUUUGCUAAGUAUAUGUCUUGAUGACAAGCCUUCUGCUGAUGAGCUGUGUUUCUGGACCGAUCAUGGUAGAAGUCAAUUAACGUGUCCCUCACUUGGGGUUUCUCAAGGACAUGCAAGGUCCUCAUGAUUGUCUCAAAACUAUAUAGAAUUGAGAAGCUGCACUGAUGAGGAAACUGAAACAGAAAAUCCAGAGUAAAUUCCACCAGGCCACACAGCAAGGUCUGAUAGAGCCAGGAGAGACUUUAUGAAAUCCAGACUCUCACACUAAUGCUCUAUCAGCUAGACCUCCAUGUGAGUCUCCCCAAUGUAGGUAGGAAGUGCUUUCCCUAAAAUGCUCAUAAAGCAAAUCAGAGCAAUGCUGCAUUCCAUGUGAUUUCUAAUUUGAAAUGCAAACAAUUGCCAAUUUGUUUGACUUGUAUUUAUAAUUAUUUCCUUGUGAAUUACUCAUCACUAAAUGCUUUAUAAAUAUUUUCUCUUUUUUUCCUCAAUGUCUAUGGAAUGAUCACAGCAUAGAAAAUGUUGGCUUUCAAGGAUUUAUUAAUAUCUCCUUUUGAAAUAACAUGUAUUUGUAAGACAGAAUAAAAUCACUUUAAAGAAACAAA